rnacentral:misc_RNA from 1 species
ASWCUAUCUCUYMAAAUUGUUCUUUSAAAAUUGCACAUAAUUUMAUUUAUASAAACMACAAGCCAAAUUGGCAAAACCAAUUUCUAUUCUUUGUAAAAUGAGAACUAUAACUAAUAUAGGUCAAGCUACAAAGGGCGCAUGGUGAAUGCCUUGGCAUCAGGAGCCGAUGAAGGACGUGAUAAGC